CCUACGGGCGGCAGCAGUAGGGAAUAUUGCUCAAUGGGGGAAACCCUGAAGCAGCAACGCCGCGUGGAGGAUGAAGGUUUUAGGAUUGUAAACUCCUUUUGUGAGAGAAGAUAAUGACGGUAUCCCACGAGUAAGCACCGGCUAACUCCGUGCCAGCAGCCGCGGGAAUACGGAGGGUGCAAGCGUUACUCGGAAUCACUGGGCGUAAAGAGUGCGCAGGCGGGCUUGUAAGUCAGAUGUGAAAUCCUGUAGCUUAACUAAAGAACUGCAUUUGAAACUAUGAGUCUAGAGUGUGGGAGAGGUAGGUGGAAUGCUUGGUGUAGGGGUAAAAUGCGUAGAUAUCAAGAGGAAUACUCAUUGCGAAGGCGACCUACUGGAACAUUACUGACGCUCAUGCACGAAAGCGUGGGGAGCAAACAGGAUUAGAUACCCGGGUAGUC
rnacentral:rRNA from 1 species